rnacentral:rRNA from 1 species
CCUGCCCACUGAAUUUAUAUUAAAGGGCCGCAGUAAUUUGACUGUGCAAAGGUAGCAUAAUCAUUAGUCUUUUAAUUGAGGACUAGAAUGAAAGGUUGGAUGAGGUAGAGUCUGUUUUAUAUUUAUUAAAUUGAAAUUAGUUUUUAAAUAAAAAAAUUUAAAUGGUAUUAAGGGACGAGAAGACCCUAUAGAAUUUGAUAGAUGUAAUUUUUAAUUAAGUUAAAGGUUAUUUUUUAAUUGAUUUGAGGUUUAUUUAAUUGGGGUGAUUAGAAGAUAAAUUUAACUCUUUUUUUUUGAUUUAAUAAUUUUUUUAGUAAAAAGAUCCAUAAUUAAUGAUUUAAAGAUUAAAUUACCUUAGGGAUAACAGCAUAAUUUUUUUUAAGAGUUCAUAUUGAAAAGAAGGAUUAUGACCUCGAUGUUGGAUUAAGAUUAAUAUUAGGUGUAGAAGUUUAAUAAUUAGG